GCUGGUGGUGAAUUUGUUAAAAAUCGUGUCGCAUGGUGAAUCCCCCUCAGCGGCGGGGCGAACGGUAAAGCAUAUUCUCAAUGCCAAUGGUCACAAUUCGCAGGUUCAGUUACCGUGCUGAAUCUACCGGGAGGCACCCGGCACCAUGCAGUAUACAGAGAUUAGGCAUAUCACCAGCCCCCUCUUCGGAGGGGGCUUUUUACAUGC
rnacentral:sRNA from 1 species